CCCGUGCCUGUGGUGGGUGGGACCAAUGAUUCUUUAGCUUUUCAAGGCUGGAAUUUCUUCUCAAGAGUCAUCGUUAAUGAGUUUAAUUAUUUUUUUUGUUCUUUUUUGUCUGGUUCGUUGGUUACUGGAUUCUAAACGAAUUCCUACCGAAUUUUCAUGAAAUGGGUUCGUAAAAGUACCGCAAACCGGUUCGUGCGAACCGGUUCCUUUAACAUCUUGUGGGUUUACAUUUCCUUUAACAGUCACCUUUUGUUCCUCCAUAUCAAUGUCAACUGAUUAUACACCUGCAAUGAGUAAAA
rnacentral:lncRNA from 1 species